rnacentral:misc_RNA from 1 species
AUGCGCAUAUCGGGUACGUGCUCGGGAGUCGCAGAGGCUGUCAAUUUCGCGACUUGUCAACGUUAAGGCCACGAAUACUUUUUCAUUGAAGCAUAUUUGAUAACAGUGCGACGCAGUCUGCCUCGGUGGCAGUUGCUCCACUCGGGUUUAUUGAGGUGGUCGGUGCUGCGCUCGCUGCAAACGUGCGCUGGUGCUCGCGAGUCGGGCUGUGAGGGCUCGUAAACGUACGCGCACCAGGCUGAUGUGGACACUACGGAUCGAUAGGGAACUGUUUGAGGAUGGUACUCCUUGGAAGCGACGGUUUGGUCUGGGACGUUCGAACUGGACUGUAACGGCCAGCGGUAAGGCUUCUGUUGUAGGCAGAUUUGAAACCUGUUGACUGGAGGUGGCGGAACGGCGUCACAACUGGGUAUCGCGGAGAAUCGCGUAUCUUUCAUGAACGAUAGCAAUUGGGUAUCCGAGGAUUCCACUGAGAACCAAUGAUUCGCUCCAUAAGACUUUUGGGUCUUUCAGAAGAAUUCGGAGUGACGCCCACGCACCGAUGGCGUCACUGCAUGCUUCGCAGUGCAAGCGCACGAACUCCCCAACACUGGGAUUUCAGUACAUGAGACUCGACGGAGAAGAAAUUAUCAGAGAAACAAUACAGGAUUUCAUGUUGAAAGCAUGCACGGGAACCUAUCCGAUGCUUCUCAAGAAAUGAAAAACGGAUAUUCAUGGGACCGAACGCGCCUCUGUGCGAGAAAAGAGGUUGCUCGAGUUUGCAGCAAUGGAUCGUGCAUCGUAUUCUAUCCAUGCAAAGUGUCGCUCGGCAUGCGAUCCGGUCUCCAGGGACGUUGGACGAAAAACCCUUACAAGGUGUCGAAGAUGUAGCCAUUCGGUGCAGUUGCGGUUUCAAUGGACGCUAUUGCAUCCAAUUGCAGAGCGCACCGAAGGCUUCUCGUAUGCAUCCAUCGGGAUACAUGGGGCGUGCCGCACGAGGUCGUCGGCCCCGGUGCCCGCUGCGCCUUCAGACUUUAGGCAUACGUCACGCGAUACCCACUAGAGCGUGAACGUGCGCUCGUGUCCUGCACGCUGGUCAUGGAGCGCACGCCGACUAGCACGCUUAUGUUUAGCUCCUGCGCACCUGGUACCCGAAACUGCCAUCGUCGCAAUGCAGGCAUCCGCGCUAACAUUGCUCGUCUCUAGAGCAUGUUGAAUCAACAUGGAACACUGAACCGCUUCCAUUCUUCCUCGACUUCGAUGUAUUUUCCGAACCAUUUUCAUAGGUGUAUAGAUUCGACGUUGCGUGUGCGGGAUUCAUGGAUUCCGGUUUCAUGAUUCGUUUUGGGAUUCUCGGGUGUCUCUUGAUCAGCGUGGCUCUUUCGACGCAUCGGCGCUGGAACUCGCAACGGUAUCGGAAUCAAAGGCGUACGCGACGCGCUCAAACAACGGUUCGUACAACAAGUGAGAUCAUUACGCGACUCAGAGGUACGAGCCUCGACGCUUCUGCUUUCCGUUGGCGAGGUGUCCGCACAUCGCGCACGGUUCAUGUGUUCGAUUUUUCGGAUGCAAGAGUGGACUGGGGCGCAGCUAUUCGCGCUGCUGGACUGCUGAGGUAACGUACGCGAUGUCGCGCGUUGACGAUUUGUUCCCGAGCGUGUGCGGAAGCCACACUGAACUCUUCACGUCCGAUGCUCGAUUCCGCUCGAACGACGUAUGCUCCAGGCGUUGCAGUCGUCGACGAGGGUUCGUAAUUCGACAGUACACUCGUAGCUCUCACGUGAUUAGCUCGCAGAGGCUCCCGUCGCUUGUAUUCGCAUGGACAAGAGUGCUGGGCUCUGUCUUCAGUCAUCGCAGAGAUUCCUUCGAGUGAAAACUGCAUCACCGGUUUGUGCAAGAAUGAGUUAGGCGAAGCGAAAUCUCUCCAAGUGUUCUCCGUCGUAGAUUUCGCUCCAGCUGCACGUUUCCCCGUGGAGCACGAGGCGUUCCAUAUAUCCUCUGUGGAAUGGAGCGGUGUGCUUAUCGGGGUUAGACCAGUCGGAAGCAACCCUCACUGGUCGUGCACCGCACCGGACACGGAUUUGGAGCAGCGUAUCGCAGGAUGCCUCCUGCAACCGCCAAUGGCUGGUACCGAGCGAUGAUUCAAACGGUCAUCCAAGGAAGAGCGACCGCCAGACGAGGAGCUGCUGUGGACACUCGCUGGCACACCUGUCUGCAUUCGUGCAUGAACGUUGCGAAGUGCGUCUGGAGGCUGCAUAGAAAGACAGUGAAAAUUGCAAGCGAAGCUCGGAUCGCAACUUGCGCCUCUGCAUGAAUAGCGUCGACAAAGGCGGGAAGCGGCGCAAUCGGGACACGAACGCUGCCAUCAGUAUUCAUCUGCUUGCGAAGAUGGAGAUGAAGGCAGAACAGAUAUCCGCAUAUUUUAUGCUGGAGGUUUAGCGUACGGACAGGUUAUCCGUCGCAGAGAAAUCCCACAAAAGGCCUAUAUUGAUAGCGUUAGAGUGCAGCCCAAUCUAUAUACAACGUAAACCUCAUUA